rnacentral:rRNA from 1 species
GACGAACGCGGCGGCGUGCCUAAUACAUGCAAGUAGAACGCUGAAGGAGGAGCUUGCUUCUCUGGAUGAGUUGCGAACGGGUGAGUAACGCGUAGGUAACCUGCCUGGUAGCGGGGGAUAACUAUUGGAAACGAUAGCUAAUACCGCAUAAGAGUAGAUGUUGCAUGACAUUUGCUUAAAAGGUGCAAUUGCAUCACUACCAGAUGGACCUGCGUUGUAUUAGCUAGUUGGUGGGGUAACGGCUCACCAAGGCGACGAUACAUAGCCGACCUGAGAGGGUGAUCGGCCACACUGGGACUGAGACACGGCCCAGACUCCUACGGGAGGCAGCAGUAGGGAAUCUUCGGCAAUGGACGGAAGUCUGACCGAGCAACGCCGCGUGAGUGAAGAAGGUUUUCGGAUCGUAAAGCUCUGUUGUAAGAGAAGAACGAGUGUGAGAGUGGAAAAGUUCACCACUGGGGACCGGU